rnacentral:miRNA from 1 species
UUGGGUUUGGUCAAAAAGUUUGUGUGGGUUUUUCUGUAAUACCUUAUGGACCGGAACGAACUUUUUGGCCAAUCCAAU